rnacentral:rRNA from 1 species
UGAGGAAUAUUGGUCAAUGGAUGGAAAUCUGAACCAGCCAAGUAGCGUGCAGGAUGACGGCCCUAUGGGUUGUAAACUGCUUUUAUGUGAGAAUAAAGUUAGGUAUGUAUACUUAUUUGCAUGUAUCACAUGAAUAAGGACCGGCUAAUUCCGUGCCAGCAGCCGCGGUAAUACGGAAGGUCCAGGCGUUAUCCGGAUUUAUUGGGUUUAAAGGGUGCGUAGGCCGUUUGAUAAGCGUGCUGUGAAAUAUAGUGGCUCAACCUCUAUCGUGCAGCGCGAACUGUUGAACUUGAGUGCGUAGUAGGUAGGCGGAAUUCGUGGUGUAGCGGUGAAAUGCUUAGAUAUCACGAAGAACUCCGAUUGCGAAGGCAGCUUACCGUAACGUUACUGACGCUUAAGCACGAAGGUGCGGGUAUCGAACAGGAUUAGAUACCCUGGUAGUCCGCACAGUAAACGAUGGAUGCUCGCUGUUGGCCUUUGUGGUCAGUGGCUUAGCGAAAGCGUUAAGCAUCCCACCUGGGGAGUACGCCGGCAACGGUG